UACAGAGGGGGCAAGCGUUGUUCGGAAUUACUGGGCGUAAAGGGCGCGUAGGCGGCCUGUUAAGUCGAACGUGAAAUCCCCGGGCUCAACCCGGGAACUGCGUCCGAUACUGGCAGGCUUGAAUCCGGGAGAGGGAUGCGGAAUUCCAGGUGUAGCGGUGAAACGCGUAGAUAUCUGGAGGAACACCGGUGGCGAAGGCGGCAUCCUGGACCGGCAUUGACGCUGAGGCGCGAAAGCCAGGGGAGCAAACGGG
rnacentral:rRNA from 1 species